rnacentral:rRNA from 1 species
AUUGAACGCUGGCGGCAUGCCUUACACAUGCAAGUCGAACGGCAGCGCGGGAGCAAUCCUGGCGGCGAGUGGCGAACGGGUGAGUAAUAUAUCGGAACGUGCCCAGUAGUGGGGGAUAGCCCGGCGAAAGCCGGAUUAAUACCGCAUGAGACCUGAGGGUGAAAGCGGGGGAUCGCAAGACCUCGCGCUAUUGGAGCGGCCGAUAUCAGAUUAGCUAGUUGGUGGGGUAAAGGCCUACCAAGGCAACGAUCUGUAGUUGGUCUGAGAGGACGACCAGCCACACUGGGACUGAGACACGGCCCAGACUCCUACGGGAGGCGGCAGUGGGGAAUUUUGGACAAUGGGCGCAAGCCUGAUCCAGCAAUGCCGCGUGCA